rnacentral:rRNA from 1 species
GAUGAACGCUGGCGGCGUGCCUAAUACAUGCAAGUCGAGCGAACAGACGAGGAGCUUGCUCCUCUGCCGUUAGCGGCGGACGGGUGAGUAACACGUGGAUAACCUACCUAUAAUACUGGGGUAACUUCGGGAAACCGGAGCUAAUACCGGAUAAUAUAUUGAACCGCAUGGUUCAAUAGUGAAAGACGGUUUUGCUGUCACUUAUAGAUGGAUCCGCGCCGCAUUAGCUAGUUGGUAAGGUAACGGCUUACCAAGGCAACGAUGCGUAGCCGACCUGAGAGGGUGAUCGGCCACACUGGAACUGAGACACGGUCCAGACUCCUACGGGAGGCAGCAGUAGGGAAUCUUCCGCAAUGGGCGAAAGCCUGACGGAGCAACGCCGCGUGAGUGAUGAAGGUCUUCGGAUCGUAAAACUCUGUUAUUAGGGAAGAACAAAUGUGUAAGUAACUAUGCACGUCUUGACGGUACCUAAUCAGAAAGCCACGGCUAACUACGUG